AGCCAUUUGCCAGCUGCCACAGUCAACUAUUCCCCACACAUGGAGGAGAGGCUCAAAACAGGACUUUGUUUCACAGAAGGCUGUCAUGCUGGCUCCCUGGCUAUCCAGUGCACACAUGCAUCUUGGAUGGAGAUAAAGUAUCACCAUCUACUGGCGGCUGGAAGGAUAACGGCAGAAAAUUUUAGAAGAGCAAUGUCCCCAACACAAGGAUACUUGCCAGACCUGUGAAAGCUUUCAAGCCGUAAGAACAUUUAUGGAGUUUGGAGAUGUGGAGCCACCUCGGUGCAGGAAGAACUUGGAGACGGAGUCACUAUCCUUCUUACAGAGAGGGAAAAAAAAUGGUGUUACCCUGUUUAGCAAGAAAAUGCAUUACUGAACUGCUUCAAGACUCACUGCCUCUGCAGUUACUUGUUAUCUUCACUGGAGCUGGGAAACCUGGUUAGCUCAGCCACCAAAUAUGUUUCCUAUAAAAUGUCCCCAGUGUUUACUAUGAAGAGACUGCAUCUGAAAAGACAGCUAAGAAUUGUGUAUCGGCACAUUGACCCUCUCUCUUCAUAAGAGGAGCGGGGGUGUGCCUGCAAGGAGAGACAAGUUCGUUGCUUGGUAGGACUUAUCCUGAGAGGUCCUUGCUGUAGUGUUUGCCGUCUGUGCUGCUUGGUUUUGGCAUUAUCUUCACCUGCUCCUGCUUCCCUUGCACUACUGUGUGGAAAAACCCAUCUGGAGUAUUGCUUGAUGAGAGCGGCUGCUCCAUACCUCUUAAGAAAUGAUGGAUGUGGCAACA